rnacentral:rRNA from 1 species
GGCGCAAGCCUGAUGCAGCGACGCCGCGUGAGGGAUGACGGCCUUCGGGUUGUAAACCUCUUUCAGCAGGGAAGAAGCGAAAGUGACGGUACCUGCAGAAGAAGCGCCGGCUAACUACGUGCCAGCAGCCGCGGUAAUACGUAGGGCGCAAGCGUUGUCCGGAAUUAUUGGGCGUAAAGAGCUCGUAGGCGGCUUGUCACGUCGGAUGUGAAAGCCCGGGGCUUAACCCCGGGUCUGCAUUCGAUACGGGCAGGCUAGAGUUCGGUAGGGGAGAUCGGAAUUCCUGGUGUAGCGGUGAAAUGCGCAGAUAUCAGGAGGAACACCGGUGGCGAAGGCGGAUCUCUGGGCCGAUACUGACGCUGAGGAGCGAAAGCGUGGGGAGCGAACAGGAUUAGAUACCCUGGUAGUCCACGCCGUAAACGGUGGGCACUAGGUGUGGGCAACAUUCCACGUUGUCCGUGCCGCAGCUAACGCAUUAAGUGCCCCGCCUGGGGAGUACGGCCGCAAGGCUAAAACUCAAA